rnacentral:rRNA from 1 species
GAUGAACGCUGGCGGCGUGCCUAAUACAUGCAAGUAGAGCGAACAGGUAAGAGCUUGCCUCCUCGGACGAUAGCGGCGGAGGGGUGAGUAACACGUGGAUCACCUAUCUAUACGACGGGGAACACUUCGGGAAACCGGAGAUAAUACCGGAUAACAUUUGGAACCGUAUGGUUCUAAAGUGAAAGAUAAUUUUGCUAUCACUAAUAGAUGCACCCUCGCCUUAUUACCUAGUUGGUAAGAAAACGGCUUACCAAGACGACGUUCAGUAGCCCACCUGAGAGGUGGAUCGGCCACACUGGAACGGAGACACGGCCCAGCUCCCUACGGGAGGCAGCAGUAGGGAAUCUUGCGCAAUGGGCGAAGUCCUGACGGAGCAACGCCGCGUGGGUGAUGAAGGGUUUCGGCUGGUAAAACUCUGUUAUUAGGGAAGAACAAAUGUGUAAGUAACUGUGCACGUCUUGACGGUACCUAAUCAGAAAGCCACGGCUAACUACGUG